rnacentral:rRNA from 1 species
CAAUAGCGUAUAUUUAAGUUGUUGCAGUUAAAAAGCUCGUAGUUGGAUUUCGGAUGGGAUUUGCCGGUCCGUCGUUACGAUGUGCACUGGCCAGUCCUAUCUUGUUGUCGGGGACUAGCUCCUUGGAUUCACUUCCUGGGACUAGGAGCUGACGAGGUUACUUUGAGUAAAUUAGAGUGUUCAAAGCAAGCCUACGCUCUGAAUACAUUAGCAUGGAACAACACGAUAGGACUCUGGCUUAUCUUGUUGGUCUGUGAGACCAGAGUAAUGAUUAAGAGGGACAGUCGGGGACAUUCGUAUUUCAUUGUCAGAGGUGAAAUUCUUGGAUUUAUGAAAGACGAACUUCUGCGAAAGCAUUUGUCAAGGAUGUUUUCAUUAA